AUGUUGGCACUGCCUAUUAUUGGCAAUACCGAGACUUGCCAACUGUUAGCAACUUUAUGUGAGAGAGGCAAAACAACUCGUAGCCAACCAAAUAAUUGCCAAUAUUUGACACAAUGCCAAACAUUGGCAUUGCCAAUUUUUGGCAGCAAACCAAUUAUGCUCCAAGUCUGCCAAGUGCCGAGUCCCUGCCAGCUGAGAGCUAGCAGCAGCAAGCGAACCAACGCACCCCCGGUCGCUCGCCGGAGCCAAGAAAGGCAACGCAACAUGUGCAACGUCAUCACGAUCCCGUCGGUAGCGUGGCUGCGCCGCGCCGUGCGCCGGUGGCGGGCCCGCCGCUCCACCUCCGCUACGGUUCCGUCGGGGCACGCCGCGGUCUGCGCGGAGGGCGCGCGGUUCAUGGUGCGGCUGGCGCACCUGAGCCACCCGGCUUUCCUGGAGCUGCUCCGGCAGGCGGAGGAGGAGUACGGCUUCCCGUCCGGCGCCUCCGGCCCCGUCGCGCUCCCCUGCGACGAGCACCGCCUCCGCGACGUCCUCCGCCGCGUCUCUUCGUCGUCCCACUCCGAGGAGCCCCGCCGCUCCACCUUCUGCCGCCGCGGCCGCUGCUGCAGGAGAUGGCCUUCCCGUGAGCGCGCGCGCCGCGGCAUCGAAGGAUCUGGCGACAGAGCACACCCAGUUUCUGCCGCGCGCAACGGCAGCAGCUGGUGA
rnacentral:rRNA from 1 species